CCCAACUCUCGUACAAAGCAGGAAAAACAACAAAAAAAACAAAAACAAAA
rnacentral:sRNA from 1 species